CCUACGGGUGGCUGCAGUGGGGGAUAUUGCACAAUGGGGGGAACCCUGAUGCAGCGACGCCGCGUGGGUGAAGAAGCGCCUCGGCGCGUAAAGCCCUUUUAGCAGGGACGAAAAUGACGGUACCUGAAGAAGAAGCCCCGGCUAACUACGUGCCAGCAGCCGCGGUAAUACGUCGGGGGCAAGCAGUAUCCGGAGUUACUGGGUGUAGAGGGGGCGCAGACGGCGAUGCAAGCCAGGAGUGAAAGCCCGGGGCCCAACCUCGGGACUGCUCUGGUAACUGCGUGGCUGGAGUGCAGGAGGGGCAGGUGGAAUUGCUGGUGUAGCGGUGAAAUGCGUAGAUAUCAGGAGGAACACCGGUGGCGAAGGCGGCCUGCUGGACUGCAACUGACGUUGAGGCCCGAAAGCGUGGGGAGCAAACAGGAUUAGAUACCCUAGUAGUC
rnacentral:rRNA from 1 species